rnacentral:tRNA from 2 species
GCCGAAGUGGCGGAAUUGGCAGACGCGCUGGACUCAAAAUCCAGUGAGCCGAGAGGUUCGUGCCGGUUCGAUCCCGGCCUUCGGCACCA